AAAUCACAGCUUAAGUUUUCUGGUCUCCCACUGCACUUGUCUGGCAUAUAUUGCCCUGAGCGAAAGAGAGAAAAAUCUGACUUUUUUAAGCAAGAGCCGUUUCUUCAAGUUACAAGAAUAAGGAAAGCACAGAGCGGACUGGUGGAGACAAAGCUGACAUUAAUAGCGCUUCUGGCAUGCUCUAAUCACAGCCCGGGGUCCCUGGAGCCUGAAGGAGCCGCUCUGAAGCCCCUCUCUUUGCGGCAAUGUCCAGCAGCGCUGCAGCAGGGCCCGGGCCCGGGCCCGGGUCCAGCCCCCGCCAGGCGGCGGGCACGAAGGGGGCCCGGAGGCGCCCGGGCAGCACGCCCGGCCCCCGGCGCGCUGCGGCAAGUUUCCCGAGGGGCUGCUCGAGGGCAGCUGUCGAGCUGCGCCCGUUUGACGGGGCCUGCUGCUCUGGAGCCACCGGGCACGCCGCUGUCAUCGUUUCGGUGCUUUAGCACCCGCAAGAGACAGGCCCGGUGGGGGAGAAGACCGACCAGCCCUCGCCAGCGCGGCCUCCCCCUCCCCACCGCAAGGCCCCCGCCCGCGCCGCGGCGCCCGCCGAGGAAACUCGCGCAGAGACAACUCGAGGGGCUCAAAACCCGCCCGAGGCGAAGAGAAAUACAACAACAACCGCCCCCGACCUCCGCGGCGCCGGGCGGGAAGAGUCCCCAGGCGCCGAGACGACGUAACGGCAGCCCCAGGGAAACGGCGCCAACGGCCGGCGCGGUUGCCAUGACAAACCGUUACAUCCGCUGCGCUCCCACCUCGGCGCCCCCCGGCGAGCGCGGACACCGCCCCCCGAGCCCCACUCCCUCCCGCCCCGACCGCCGGAGAGGCCGGGCGCCAGCUCACAAUUGGCUAAGGCGGCUGUCGCUCGGGGCAAGAGCGGAGGCCGGGUUGGAUGAGGCGGCUGUCGCUCGCUCCAAGAAGGGAGGUGGGAUGAGGCGCCCCUCGGAGCGCGGCGAGCAUCGAGCCCAGGCCGUGCAAAGGACUACGGGGCCCAGCAGGCUUUGCGGCGCGGACCGGACUACACCGCCCGGGGUGCAGCGCUCCGCUGCUGGCUUACGUGACCGUCCGAGAGCAGAGCCGGCAGCUGGGGCAUCACCCUGA
rnacentral:lncRNA from 1 species